rnacentral:rRNA from 1 species
UACAGAGGUCUCAAGCGUUUGUUCGGAUUCAUUGGGCGUAAAGGGUGCGUAGGUGGCGCCGUAAGUCAGGUGUGAAAUCUCGGGGCUCAACCCCGAAACUGCAUUUGAUACUGCGGUGCUUUGAGGACUGGAGAGGAGACUGGAAUUCACGGUGUAGCAGUGAAAUGCGUAGAUAUCGUGAGGAAGACCAGUGGCGAAGGCGGGUCUCUGGACAGUUCCUGACACUGAGGCACGAAGGCCAGGGGGAGCAAAACGGG